rnacentral:rRNA from 1 species
GACAGAGGGUGCAAACGUUGUUCGGAAUUACUGGGCGUAAAGCGCGUGUAGGCGGCUCUGCAAGUCGGAUGUGAAAGCCCUCGGCUCAACCGAGGAAGUGCACCCGAAACUGCAGAGCUAGAGUCUCGGAGAGGAUCGUGGAAUUCUCGGUGUAGAGGUGAAAUUCGUAGAUAUCGAGAGGAACACCGGUGGCGAAGGCGGGUCUCUGGACAGUUCCUGACACUGAGGCACGAAGGCCAGGGGAGCAAACGGG